UCUAGGAUCCAUACACAGCUACCCUCCCUCCUCCGUCCACAGCAAGCAACAGUCUGCUGCACUUGGGGAGACCUCUGCCCCUGUCCUGGCCUCUGUCAAGCAGCCUUGCCAGCUGCAGUGCCGGCAAGAUGCUGGGACGCAGAGCUAUCUGUCGACAGGCAGAGUGGACAGUGAGAGAGAGAGAGAGAGAAAGAUCUUCCUUUUGCCGUUGGUUCACCCUCCAAUGGCCGCCGCGGCUGGCGCAUUGCGCUGAUCCGAAGCCAGGAGCCAGGUGCUUCUCCUGGUCUCCCAUGGGGUGCAGGGCCCAAGCACCUGGGCCAUCCUCCACUGCACUCCCUGGCCACAGCAGAGAGCUGGACUGGAAGAGGGGCAACCGGGACAGAAUCCGGCGCCCCGACCAGGACUAGAACCCGAUGUACCAGCGCUGCAGGUGGAGGAUUAGCCUAUUGAGCCACGGCGCCAGCCCUGUAACACCCUUUCUACCUCUCAGGUGUGACCAAAAAGGUCUCCUGGUAUUACCAAAGACCGCCUGGGAGCCAGGGACAGGAGGCAGGGGACACGAAGCUGCCUCUGGUUGAGAGGCGCUGCCUCACAUGACAAGUCACGUCACACGGACGCCAUCCCAGCCCCGGCUUCACGGUUCAGCCGGGGACAGACAGAGAGGAACAGGACUUGUCGAGAAGAGAUCUGCCCUCGCGUGACCCCUUCCUUUCCCUGCUGAAGUCAGGGGCCCCGGGGGAGCAGAGACGUGAGAAACCACAGUUGGAGGUCUCUGGGCGCUGGCUGUCUCCAAGCACUGGACACAGGCUCUGCACUCCGGGCGGCCCUCGGGGUGAAAAUGGGCCACCGAUCCCGAAAGAACAACCCUCCCGCUGCCCACCCGUGCUCCCAAGGUUUCACUGUCUGGGAGUCGCGAUGCUGCGGGGUGAGGGGCCCCACACGCAUGGCGAGUGGACAGAGACACCUCCAGGAGAGGACCAGAGGGCGGCUUCCCCACAGCACUCUGGGCAACCCUGGAGGUGAAAGCGGCUCAAAAACAGGUUAAGAGAGUGGUUCCAGCUAAGCCCGGCCACCCGCUGGAGUCACCUGGAAAGCAUCAAACACUCCUAAAGCCCGCGUCCCUCCCCAAGGCCUCCCCGCUGCUGUCCCGGGCUCCGGGAACUUUCAAAGCUCCCCAAGUGCUUCUGAUGUUCAGACAGGUUUAGCAGGCGGCGAGCGGGGCGCGUGGGCCUCUGCUUUCAUAGAGCUCUGUCUUCACCCGCCCUGGGGCCAACUCCUAACCAGAUCACUUCCUUGCUCUGUCACCGUGUGUCACCAUGGCCUUUCGGUGCCUUGUUUCACCAACUACAAAGCGCAUGCAGCAAGACGGAACACCCAUCCCAGAGGGCUGCUGUGCAGGCGUCAUGAGACCGUCCAGGUGGGGCGUGGAGGACGCGCAUGUAGUAAGGGCUCAAUGAAAGCCAGGACUCUCCACUGUCGUAGAGAGGAGGAGGAGAGCGGGAACCAGGAGCUGGGUCCGCGCUGUCCCCGGAGCGAGUCUCCAGGGCUGACCUGGGAAGCAGGCGGGCGCCAGAGGCGGCCCCGGCAUCUGCACUCGGGUGGGCGCCCGCCCUGUCGGGCUGUGCCUCCUACCUUCCACAUCACGUGCUCCUCUCCACAUCCCACCACUGAGGGUCCAGCUCCGACCUCCCCAGGGCUGCCCUCCUCAGGUGCCCUGCACCGCGUCCCCACGAUGCCUGCCUCUCUGAGCAGCCACCGCCAAGUCGGAUGAGUGAACGCGCUGCUACGUCCUGGCCCCGCUGCCUCAGAAGUCACUUAGCACCGUCUGGGAGGCCUGGGGCCCCGGAUGUGCCACGGCUGCCGAAGACUCAGGGGUUGGAAGCCUGGUCCCCGGUGUGGCGAGGUGAAUGGGCUGGGGGGCCUCGGAGAGGCGGGGCCCAGUGGGAGAUGGUUAGGUCCCUGCAGAGCUGCCCCAGAAGGAACUGACGUAGCUCUCGCGGGCUCCUGGCUACUUUUCCAGGAACGGUGCUCAGAGAGAGCAUGCCUGGUCCUCUGUGUUCUCUCUCGGGCCUGCAGCCUCCUCACCCUCCCACCAGGAUGUCAUCCACCACGGGUGACCCAGCCAAGGAGGGCCUCCCUGGAGGCCAACCCAAGAGUACACUGCCCUUGAACCUCCAGAUCUGAUGGCUCAGGACAUGGCGCAGACUUGGGCAUUUUGCUGUAGCCACAGAGAAAGGACUGCUACGGGCAGCCAGCACCACACUGCACUGGGCACACAACACUGGAUGGACAAUCACUGAUGGACUGAAGGCACACACGGAGCCAGCAGAGCUGGUGACACAGCAGCCAGGACAAAGGCUCCACACCCCAGGCCCAGCCCCCAAGGCCCAUGGCAUCCAUCAUGACAAGGAUGCACCAUCACCUCAUCCCAUCCUGGGAGACCCUGCCCACCUGCUCCUAGGAUCCGUGGCUCCUGCCACGAAACCAGCAACCCCCAGUCUCCCUAAAACCCAACAACAGCCAGGCAGAGUCCUACCCUGCCCACACGGGAGCCCAGAGCAGCUGGCCACCCAACAGUCCGUAAGCCUCUUACAGAUUAAAGGUCCUAAUUUAAGCCUCUAUUUGAGGGAGGACAAGUGGGUCAGCACUCGGCAGGCCGGAUGGUGCCGCCCGAGGAAGGAGGAAGGACUGAGAGCCAGGGAAGGCUCCUCUCCUUUGGGGGAAGACAGGGCCCGAGAAUCACGGAUGGAGUGGAACCACUGUGGCACGGGGGUGCCCAUGCCAUGCAUCCAGAGUGCCCCCACGGCGAUCUGACCUCUAACCUCCCAUCCAAUGAGCCUGAGAAACCGGACGACAGGGACUGGCCUUCCACUCCCUGCGCUGGCCUCAGUAGGCAGGAUACAAGGAGAUUUGUUGCUAAAAUAGAAAAUUUCAAAAGAGUGAGGGAAUAGUUAACAAAGGUGAGACCCAAGAGAAGGGGGAAGGGGCUGGUCACCUGCAUUCUAGGACUCACAGCCUGGUGACCAGGGAGAGGAGGGCAACGUGUGCUCCUCACCCCCUGGUUGAAGUUUUCCUGGCCUUUCUCCCCAGCUCCUCUGCAGCAGGAAGCAGCGGGCAGGGUGCACAGUCACAGGCAAGCCCAGGGUCACGCCGUCAGGGCCUGACUCCAGCUGCUCUUCAAAAAAAAAAAAAAAAACCCUCUCAGGCCAGCUUUGUGGUGCAGCAGUAAAGCUGCCACCCGCAGUGCUGGUAUCCAAUAUGCACACUAGUUCAAGUCCUGGGUGCUCCUCUUCCUAUCCAGCUCCCUGCUAAUGCAC